AGGGCGCACGGUGGAUGCCUUGACACUAGGAGUCGAUGAAGGACGGGACUAACGCCGAUAUGCUUCGGGGAGCUGUAAGUAAGCUUUGAUCCGAAGAUUUCCGAAUGGGGAAACCCACCAUACGUAAUGGUAUGGUAUCCUUAUCUGAAUACAUAGGGUAAGGAAGACAGACCCAGGGAACUGAAACAUCUAAGUACCUGGAGGAAGAGAAAGCAAAUGCGAUUUCCUGAGUAGCGGCGAGCGAAACGGAACAUAGCCCAAACCAAGAGGCUUGCCUCUUGGGGUUGUAGGACAUUCUAUACGGAGUUACAAAGGAACGAGGUAGACGAAGCGACCUGGAAAGGUCCGUCGUAGAGGGUAACAACCCCGUAGUCGAAACUUCGUUCUCUCUUGAAUGUAUCCUGAGUACGGCGGAACACGUGAAAUUCCGUCGGAAUCUGGGAGGACCAUCUCCCAAGGCUAAAUACUCCCUAGUGAUCGAUAGUGAACCAGUACCGUGAGGGAAAGGUGAAAAGCACCCCGGAAGGGGAGUGAAAGAGAUCCUGAAACCGUGUGCCUACAAAUAGUCAGAGCCCGUUAACGGGUGAUGGCGUGCCUUUUGUAGAAUGAACCGGCGAGUUACGAUCCCGUGCGAGGUUAAGCUGAAGAGGCGGAGCCGCAGCGAAAGCGAGUCUGAAUAGGGCGUUUAGUACGUGGUCGUAGACCCGAAACCAGGUGAUCUACCCAUGUCCAGGGUGAAGUUCAGGUAACACUGAAUGGAGGCCCGAACCCACGCACGUUGAAAAGUGCGGGGAUGAGGUGUGGGUAGCGGAGAAAUUCCAAUCGAACCUGGAGAUAGCUGGUUCUCCCCGAAAUAGCUUUAGGGCUAGCCUUAAGUGUAAGAGUCUUGGAGGUAGAGCACUGAUUGGACUAGGGGUCCUCAUCGGAUUACCGAAUUCAGUCAAACUCCGAAUGCCAAUGACUUAUCCUUAGGAGUCAGACUGCGAGUGAUAAGAUCCGUAGUCAAAAGGGAAACAGCCCAGACCGCCAGCUAAGGUCCCAAAGUGUGUAUUAAGUGGAAAAGGAUGUGGAGUUGCUUAGACAACUAGGAUGUUGGCUUAGAAGCAGCCACCAUUUAAAGAGUGCGUAAUAGCUCACUAGUCGAGUGACUCUGCGCCGAAAAUGUACCGGGGCUAAAUACACCACCGAAGCUGCGGAUUGAUACCAAUGGUAUCAGUGGUAGGGGAGCGUUCUAAGGACAGUGAAGUCAGACCGGAAGGACUGGUGGAGUGCUUAGAAGUGAGAAUGCCGGUAUGAGUAGCGAAAGACGGGUGAGAAUCCCGUCCACCGAAUGCCUAAGGUUUCCUGAGGAAGGCUCGUCCGCUCAGGGUUAGUCAGGACCUAAGCCGAGGCCGACAGGCGUAGGCGAUGGACAACAGGUUGAUAUUCCUGUACCACCUCUUUAUCGUUUGAGCAAUGGAGGGACGCAGAAGGAUAGAAGAAGCGUGCGAUUGGUUGUGCACGUCCAAGCAGUUAGGCUGAUAAGUAGGCAAAUCCGCUUAUCGUAAAGGCUGAGCUGUGAUGGGGAAGCUCCUUAUGGAGCGAAGUCUUUGAUUCCCCGCUGCCAAGAAAAGCUUCUAGCGAGAUAAAAGGUGCCUGUACCGCAAACCGACACAGGUAGGCGAGGAGAGAAUCCUAAGGUGUGCGAGAGAACUCUGGUUAAGGAACUCGGCAAAAUGACCCCGUAACUUCGGGAGAAGGGGUGCUUUCUUAACGGAAAGCCGCAGUGAAUAGGCCCAAGCGACUGUUUAGCAAAAACACAGGUCUCUGCGAAGCCGUAAGGCGAAGUAUAGGGGCUGACACCUGCCCGGUGCUGGAAGGUUAAGGAGAGGGGUUAGCGCAAGCGAAGCUCUGAACUGAAGCCCCAGUAAACGGCGGCCGUAACUAUAACGGUCCUAAGGUAGCGAAAUUCCUUGUCGGGUAAGUUCCGACCCGCACGAAAGGUGUAACGAUUUGGGCACUGUCUCAACCAGAGACUCGGUGAAAUUAUAGUACCUGUGAAGAUGCAGGUUACCCGCGACAGGACGGAAAGACCCCGUGGAGCUUUACUGUAGCCUGAUAUUGAAUUUUGGUACAGUUUGUACAGGAUAGGCGGGAGCCUUUGAAACCGGAGCGCUAGCUUCGGUGGAGGCGCUGGUGGGAUACCGCCCUGACUGUAUUGAAAUUCUAACCUACGGGUCUUAUCGACCCGGGAGACAGUGUCAGGUGGGCAGUUUGACUGGGGCGGUCGCCUCCUAAAAUGUAACGGAGGCGCCCAAAGGUUCCCUCAGAAUGGUUGGAAAUCAUUCGUAGAGUGCAAAGGCAUAAGGGAGCUUGACUGCGAGACCUACAAGUCGAGCAGGGACGAAAGUCGGGCUUAGUGAUCCGGUGGUUCCGCAUGGAAGGGCCAUCGCUCAACGGAUAAAAGCUACCCCGGGGAUAACAGGCUUAUCUCCCCCAAGAGUCCACAUCGACGGGGAGGUUUGGCACCUCGAUGUCGGCUCAUCGCAUCCUGGGGCUGUAGUCGGUCCCAAGGGUUGGGCUGUUCGCCCAUUAAAGCGGUACGCGAGCUGGGUUCAGAACGUCGUGAGACAGUUCGGUCCCUAUCCGUCGUGGGCGUAGGAAAUUUGAGAGGAGCUGUCCUUAGUACGAGAGGACCGGGAUGGACGCACCGCUGGUGUACCAGUUGUUCUGCCAAGGGCAUAGCUGGGUAGCUAUGUGCGGAAGGGAUAAGUGCUGAAAGCAUCUAAGCAUGAAGCCCCCCUCAAGAUGAGAUUUCCCAUAGCGUAAGCUAGU
rnacentral:rRNA from 1 species